rnacentral:tRNA from 1 species
GGGAAGGUGGCUCAGUGUUAGAGCGCUUGCCUUGCAGGCAUGAGGCCCUGGGUUUGA